rnacentral:misc_RNA from 1 species
AUAGCCCAACCAAUAAUGGGAAAGAGAAAUAUUGCGGUCUUGCUAAUGAACUUAAAGCUUCUGCCAAGGGUAAGAAGUGUAUAUAUGUCUAGAAAGCUCUGAUGGUUGGAAACAAACACUGCCGGAGAAUUUGGAGAGGGCAAAUUCUCCAACCCUUCAUAUUUGAUCCUAAAAAACGGAGCAAUAGUCAGACUUGCCCACAUUUUGGCAAUUGAAUAAUGAAUUCUUCUGCGGUAUCUAUCCAUCAAUA